CCAGACUCCUACGGGAGGCAGCAGUGAGGAAUAUUGGUCAAUGGGCGGGAGCCUGAACCAGCCAAGUCGCGUGAGGGAAGACGGUCCUACGGAUUGUAAACCUCUUUUGCCGGGGAGCAACGGGGUCCUUGCGAGGGCCCAAUGAGAGUACCCGGAGAAAAAGCAUCGGCUAACUCCGUGCCAGCAGCCGCGGUAAUACGGAGGAUGCGAGCGUUAUCCGGAUUUAUUGGGUUUAAAGGGUGUGCAGGCGGAGGUGCAAGUCGGCGGUCAAAUUGCGGGGCUCAACCCCGGCGAGCCGUUGAAACUGGCUGUCUUGAGAUGUCGAGAGGUAUGCGGAAUGCGCAGUGUAGCGGUGAAAUGCUUAGAUAUUGCGCAGAACUCCGAUUGCGAAGGCAGCAUACCGGCGGCGAUCUGACGCUGAGGCACGAAAGCGUGGGUAUCGAACAGGAUUAGAUACCCUCGUAA
rnacentral:rRNA from 1 species